rnacentral:rRNA from 1 species
UACGAAGGGGGCUAGCGUUGUUCGGAUUUACUGGGCGUAAAGCGCACGUAGGCGGACUAUUAAGUCAGGGGUGAAAUCCCGGGGCUCAACCCCGGAACUGCCUUUGAUACUGGUAGUCUUGAGUUCGAGAGAGGUAAGUGGAAUUCCGAGUGUAGAGGUGAAAUUCGUAGAUAUUCGGAGGAACACCAGUGGCGAAGGCGGGUUGGCUGGGCUGGACACUGACGCUGAUGCGCGAAAGCCAGGGGAGCGAACGGG